rnacentral:other from 1 species
UUGACCCUGCUGUGUUCGUGAUGCCGCACUACCCGGUUUGAGCCAACACUUUUGUGAAGGGGAUGGCAACUUCUGAAGGAAUGCGAUAGGCGUAAGCCAAGGCAGACCGUAAGAGCUUUCCCCGACCUGCUAUAAACAGGCACAAACCCAGCAGCACACGGCAUGGUGGGGCGAUU